rnacentral:rRNA from 1 species
UACGGGAGGCAGCAGUGGGGAAUAUUGCACAAUGGGCGCAAGCCUGAUGCAGCCAUGCCGCGUGUAUGAAGAAGGCCUUCGGGUUGUAAAGUACUUUCAGUCGUGAGGAAGGUGUUAAGGUUAAUAACCUUAGCAAUUGACGUUAGCGACAGAAGAAGCACCGGCUAACUCCGUGCCAGCAGCCGCGGUAAUACGGAGGGUGCGAGCGUUAAUCGGAAUUACUGGGCGUAAAGGGCACGCAGGCGGUUAAUUAGCUGGAUGUGAAAUCCCCGGGCUUAACCUGGGAAUGGCAUUCAAGACUGGUUAGCUAGAGUCUUGUAGAGGGGGUGAAUUCCAUGUGUAGCGGUGAAAUGCGUAGAGAUGUGGAGGAAUACCGGUGGCGAAGGCGGCCCCUGGACAAAGACUGACGCUCAUGUGCGAAAGGCGUGGGGAGCGAAACAGGGAUUAGAUACC